rnacentral:rRNA from 1 species
UGGGGAAUAUUGCACAAUGGGGGAAACCCUGAUGCAGCGAUGCCGCGUGAGUGAAGACGGUCUUCGGAUUGUAAAGCUCUGUUGACAGGGACGAUAAUGACGGUACCUGUUUAGAAAGCCACGGCUAACUACGUGCCAGCAGCCGCGGUAAUACGUAGGUGGCGAGCGUUGUCCGGAAUUACUGGGUGUAAAGGGAGCGCAGGCGGGGAGCCAAGUUGGAUGUGAAAUACCGCAGCUUAACUGCGGGGCUGCAUCCAAAACUGGUUCUCUUGAGUGAAGUAGAGGUAGGCGGAAUUCCUAGUGUAGCGGUGAAAUGCGUAGAUAUUAGGAGGAACACCAGUGGCGAAGGCGGCCUACUGGGCUUUAACUGACGCUGAGGCUCGAAAGCGUGGGGAGCAAACAGGAUUAGAUACCCGCGUAGUCC